GAUCCGGGGCAGGGCCGGCCAAAUCGUGGCGGGCGGCGGAUUUCGACAAUACAGGGACAUCAACGGCAAGCACUGCUGGUUUUAAGACUCCAAGCUACUAUUUUAGUAAAAUAUUUGAUGUGCUAAAACAAUAAUGCGGAGAGAAGUCGUUUCUCCAAUGAAAAAUAAUAGCUCAAGAAGGUGAUUUCAGAUCUUCCUUGUGAGGUACUUCAAAAAUGGCUGAGGUGCGUUGAAUUUUAUGGAAUGAAUUCCUAGGCACCAACUGAAGGAUUUGUGCAAUGGUGUAACAAGUUUGGUGUUGAAAAUAGCGUUUAUUUCUGUGAUGUUUCAUUCGUGAAGGAUGCCAAUGAUGCACAAUGAGGAGAUGGUUGGGCCUUGUGGUGUGCUUACGACAGCAGCUCUCCUGUCAGUGCGGUGUUCUCGGCUGUAGUAGGGCGACCUUGCCAGCAAACUCGCCAUCUCUUUCCCUAGGUUCAAACUCCCGAUGAGGUUCUGCAGCGCUGAUAUCAACCUCACCAGAGGCAUUCGCCGCCUCUCUUCCCCUGCAGUUU